CGGAGGGUGCGAGCGUUGUCCGGAAUCACUGGGCGUAAAGGGCGCGUAGGCGGCAUGCCAAGCGUGUGGUGAAAGCCCGGGGCUCAACCCCGGGUCGGCCGUGCGGACUGGCGUGCUCGAGCACUGUAGGGGCGGGUGGAAUUCCGGGUGUAGCGGUGGAAUGCGUAGAGAUCCGGAAGAACACCGGUGGCGAAGGCGGCCCGCUGGGCAGGAAGACCCCGCAAGGGGUCGGCUGACGCUGAGGCGCGACAGCGUGGGGAGCAAACAGGAUUAGAUACCCUGGUAGUCCACGCCGUAAACGAUGGGCACUAGGUGCCUGGGGGAGCGACCCUCCGGGUGCCGGCGCUAACGCAUUAAGUGCCCCGCCUGGGGAGUACGGCCGCAAGGCUG
rnacentral:rRNA from 1 species